AAAAACAAAUUUAAAAUUACAAUUAAACUUAAUAUUUUCUCUUUUCCUCUCCCUCUUCGUGUUCCCUCUGUCCGAUGAAAACCAGAAGCGCAAAGCUUCCUAAAAUUCUAGCCAUUUUACUCAUCACUUCCCAAAAACUACAUAUACGUUUUAAUCCGACAACUAUGAAUACAUAUUCAAACUGGGAAAAAGUAGGACAGAAAACAUACCCAAAAAGUAACCGUGGCGUUCUAGCUUCUGCCAAAUCUCAGAUUUAUCAACUGAGGAGGCAAAACGCUAAAUCCCUUUUUAGCUGGGAAAGCCCUGACAAAGCACCACAACUCACCGCAAAACCAAAAUUAACAAAAAUCCAAAAUUAAAACUCAAAUACAGUACCUGAGUUGAAUAGAACUCAUUUCACUAUGAUCUGAAGACAGGCCGCGCCCAAACUGGGCUGGAAAUUCGUCGGAAAUUCGGCAACAACUUCGGAAUCCAAGACGGCAAAAGAGACAAAAUCUGUGAAGUCUUGGCCCGGCGAUUGCAAGUUUAGGAACCCUAGAAACCAAUUUUAUGUGUUUCGACAAAACGCCCACAACUGUAGGAUUGCAGGGAUGCAUAACUCCCCUCAAAUGC
rnacentral:lncRNA from 1 species